CGCCUACGUUAGCCAGUGAAAUCAUCUUUGUGUCGGAGAUCACGACCGGCGUUUCGUGCCUCAAUGUGUCCUCCUCGACGCUCUGAUUUCGUCGUCAAGCGAGCUCCGACAAACACUCGCCGCAACUCGGCUGAAUAAAAGGACUCCCUGAUGGUUUUCCUCAGACAACUCAAGUUCUUCAAAAUUCCGAGGUUUCACGCCCGAUGCCCGUCCCGAUGUGACCCCUGCCGACCCUUUGGUGUGGUCAACACAACCUGGCGUUGAGCACUUUAAAGAUUGUGGAGAUGAUUGUGGACUUCAGGAGGCAACCUUCACCACAGCUGCCCCUCACGCUGCCCAACUGUCAAGACCUUCAAGUUCUUGGGAAUUACAGAGGACCCGAAGUGGGAGGCAAACAUCAACUCCAUCCUCAAAAAAGCCCAGCAAGGGACGUCCUUCUUGCGGCUUCUGAGGAAGAACAUCCCGUCACAAGAGCUGUUGAGACAGUUCUACACGGCGGUCAUCUAAUCAGUCCUGUGCACCUCCAUCGCAAUCUGGUUUGGGGGCGCCACAAAAAAAGGACAACCUCAGACUGCAAAGGACAUUCAAAACCGCUGAACGGAUUGUCGGCACCACGCAACCCACUUUUGAGGACUUCCACGCCACUCGGACUGGGACCAGAGCGGGCAGGAUCCUUUCGGACCCUCCGCAUCCCGGACACCAGCUCUUCCGGCUCCUUCCGUCGGGAAAGCGCUACAGAUCAAUGAAAUUCAAAAGAAGCAGGCAUUCGAACUGGGUUGUUUUUUUUUUCCCCCUUUGGCAAUUAACUCAUUAAAUUCUCGAUCAUCGAACCUUCUGUCACCGUAAUUUCCGGACUAUAAGCCGCGACUUUUGUCGCACGUUUUCAACCCUGCGACUUAUACAAUGAUGCGGCUAAUUUAUUCAUUUUUUUUCCUAACGGCCGCCAGCGGCGCUCGAGCAGAAAAGGUAAGAGUGAGACAGGUGGAAUAUAUGCGUCGAGGAAGACGCAAGUUUCAUGUAGCCUCGCGCUUUGUGCGUGUAUAAAAUUUAGCAUCAUGAAAAAUGCAAGAAGCUGGCCAAUAAAGAAGGAAACGGCUGCUGCACGUAAACGUGGCAAAAACGAAUCGAUGGUGAGACGCUGGAAAUGGCACCGGGAAGAACUGGAGCAAUGGAAAAAUGCAUCAAAGUCGAUGGCCUGAACCUUAUUGCUGCUGCGUUACUGCUCCAUCAAAGGCACUGUUUGGAAAGAAAAGCUAAGGUAUUUUAUUCAAACUUUGAAAACUCUUUCUGUGCACCGUCUUUCUUCGUAAAUAUUUCAUGUUUCACUAUGGGCAGAUGCGCCUUAUAGACAGGUGCGACUUAUGUAUGUACAAAAUGCUUUUUCCUUUAAAAAUGUACUGGGUGAGGCUUAUAAUCAGGUGCGGCUUUUAUAUUUUGUGGACCGUAUGAUUCGUAACUUUAACCUGCUCUGCUCUUGCACUCGUCUAUAACGGGAACCGCAAGCGGGUAAAGGUACUCUGUCCGAGCUUGACACAAUGUAGGAUGUUAACGACACACUUAUCUAUUCUAAAUAAAGAUUUUACAUCUUGCAUGGGGCCUCCGCUCCCCAGGAGGGGUUGCAUCAGGAAGGGCGUCCGGCGUCAAAACUGCGCCAAACAAAUACGAGAUGUCACGCUGUGGCGACCCCUAACGGGACAAGCCGGAAGAAACGGAACAGAAAUGUCUUCUUGUUGUUGUUUUGUUGUUCUUUGAUUUGAACGUUCGACUGCCGGAGGAAAAAUUCCUCGUGUGUUUUUACACACUUGGCCAAUAAAGCUGAUUCUGAUUCUGAUUCUGAUGGCUCAGUUGAGUGCAAAACAUUCAAAUUCAGCCCUCAUGCUCAUCUUCUAAUAUAAUAUUCACCUGCUCAUCGCCAGCAUUAUCACCUGCGACAGAUUUGAUUCUGAAACGCCGUUUUAUUCCCCCUUCGCACUUGUCUUGUCUUCUUAAGUUAAUCGUCAAAAGAUUUGACUGCAAGCUGGCAAUUUUUCCUUUGAUAGCACUGUUACCAAAAAAGGCCAAAUAUUUUGAGCAGUUUAAAGAGAUGUUUACUUACAGUGGGGGGCGGAAAGUAUUCACACCCCCUCAAAUAUUUCUUUUUUUUUUUUUUUAAUCAGCCAUGUGGCUUGCCAUUCCGAGUCAAAAUAUGUUGGCCUUUGUGCUAUAUUUUGGAUUCUUUGGUAUUCUUCUGUCCUGUGACUUUCCACUGUAAAACAACUUCCUAUAUACGUGUA